rnacentral:lncRNA from 1 species
GUAAAAUUAAGCAUCAAGUAAACAAGUGGAAAGUGACCUACACUUUUAACUUGUCUCACUAGUGCCUAAAUGUAGUAAAGGCUGCUUCAGUUUUGUAUGUAGUUGGGUUUUUUGGAGUCCGAAGGUAUCCAUCUGCAGAAAUUGAGGCCCAAAUUGAAUUUGGAUUCAAGUGGAUUCUAAAUACUUUGCUUAUCUUGAAGAGAGAAGCUUCAUAAGGAAUAAACAAGUUGAAUAGAGAAAACACUGAUUGAUAAUAGGCAUUUUCAUGGUCUUUUUAAUGUUUUCUGUUGUUAAACAUUUCAAGAUUUAUUGAUUUUUUUUUUCACUUUCCCCAUCACACUCACAGGCACGCUCACACUUUUUAUUUGCCGUAAUGAACCGUCUAGCCCCUGUGGAGAUCUCCUAUGAGAACAUGUGUUUUCUGAUAACUCACAACCCUACCAAUGCUACUCUCAACAAGUUCACAGAGGAACUUAAGAAGUAUGGAGUGACGACUUCGGUUUGAGUUUGUGAUGCUACAUAUGAUAAAGCUCCAGUUGAAAAAGAAGGAAUCCACGUUCUAGAUUGGCCAUUUGAUGAUGGAGCUCCAUCCCCUAAUCAGAUAGUAGAUGAUUGGUUAAACCUGUUAAACACCAAAUUUCGUGAAGAGCCAGGUUGCUGUGUUGCAGUGCAUUGCGUUGUGGAAUUGGGAAGGGCACCUGUGCUGGUUGCACUUGCUUUGAUUGAAUGUGGAAUGAAGUACGUAGAUGCAGUUCAGUUUAUAAGACAAAAAAGAAGGGGAGUGUUAAAUUCCAAACAGCUGCUUUACUUAAGAUGCGAUUACGCUUCAGAGAUACCAAUGGGCAUUGCUGUGUUCAGCAGAAAGAAAUGUAAAUGAAGGCUGACUUGAUUGUGGCAUUUAGAGGGAACUCCUGGUACCUGGAAAUGUGAAUCUGGACUCUUACCUGUGUCAUCAAAGUAGUGAUGGAUUCAAUACUCCUCAACCACUCUCCUAAUGAUCAGAACAAAAGCAAACAAGAAAUCUCUCUAUAAAAUGAAUAAAAUGUUUAAGAAAAAAAA